AGAACGAACGCUGGCGGCAGGCCUCAAACAUGCAAGUCUAGGGGGUGUAGCAAUACAUCACCGGCGGACGGGUGCGUAACACGUGGGAAUAUACCUUUUGGUUCGGAACAACGCAGGGAAACUUGCGCUAAUACCGAAUGUGCCCUUACGGGGAAAGAUUUAUCGCCAAAGGAUUAGCCCGCGUAGGAUUAGCUAGUUGGUGAGGUAAUGGCUCACCAAGGCUCCGAUCCUUAGCUGUUCUGAGAGGAAGAUCAGCCACACUGGGACUGAGACACGGCCCAGACUCCUACGGGAGGCAGCAGUUGGGAAUCUUGGACAAUGGGGGAAACCCUGAUCCAGCCAUGCCGCGUGAGUGAUGAAGGCCUUCGGGUUGUAAAACUCUUUCGACGGGGACGAUAAUGACGGUGCCCGUAGAAGAAGCUCCGGCUAACUUCGUGCCAGCAGCCGC
rnacentral:rRNA from 1 species